rnacentral:rRNA from 1 species
UACGUAGGCAGCAAGCGUUGUUCGGAAUUACUGGGCGUAAAGGGUGCGUAGGCGGCUUUUUAAGUUUGGUGUGAAAUCUCCCGGCUCAACUGGGAGGGUGCGCCGAAUACUGAGAAGCUAGAGUGUGGGAGAGGAAAGUGGAAUUCCUGGUGUAGCGGUGAAAUGCGUAGAUAUCAGGAGGAACACCUAUGGCGAAGGCAGCUCGCUGGGACGGUACUGACGCUGAGGCGCGAAAGCGUGGGGAGCGAACAGG